rnacentral:rRNA from 1 species
UCUCGUGACGCGUCAGUGCACGAAAGAAAGGGGAGCAGGGGAACGGCCACCAGCCACCAUCCCUCUUCUCUAUUUCUUUUAUUUAUUAUAGGUACAGUCGAGCUGGGGACCCGGAAUGUUCUAAUUGUUGUAGGGAGAGAACCUAGAGAUACUUGGGAGCGCUACGAGGGUUUUACGUAACAAACUGGUUUUUUUUUCCUCCCCCCCGGAAAAAUACAUACAUAAGCGGAGGACAAGAUACCAACAGGGAUUGCCCCAGUAACGGCGAGUGAAGCGGCAACAGCUCAAAUUUGAAAUCUGGCUCUUUUAGAGUCCGAGUUGUAAUUUGCAGAGGGCGCUUUGGCUUUGGCAGCGGUCCAAGUUCCUUGGAACAGGACGUCACAGAGGGUGAGAAUCCCGUACGUGGUCGCUGGCUAUUGCCGUGUAAAGCCCCUUCGACGAGUCGAGUUGUUUGGGAAUGCAGCUCUAAAUGGGAGGUACAUUUCUUCUAAAGCUAAAUAUUGGCCAGAGACCGAUAGCGCACAAGUAGAGUGAUCGAAAGAUGAAAAGCACUUUGGAAAGAGAGUCAAACAGCACGUGAAAUUGUUGAAAGGGAAGCGCUUGCAGCCAGACUUGCUUGCAGUUGCUCAUCCGGGCUUUUGCCCGGUGCACUCUUCUGCAGGCAGGCCAGCAUCAGUUUGGGCGGUAAGAUAAAGGUCUCUGUCACGUACCUCUCUUCGGGGAGGCCUUAUAGGGGAGACGACAUAUUACCAGCCUGGACUGAGGUCCGCGCAUCUGCUAGGAUGCUGGCGUAAUGGCUGUAAGCGGCCCGUCUUGAAACACGGACCAAGGAGUCUAACAUCUAUGCGAGUGUUUGGGUGUCAAGCCCGAGCGCGUAAUGAAAGUGAACGGAGGUAGGAACCCGCAAGGGUGCACUAUCGACCGAUCCUGAUGUCUUCGGAAGGAUUUGAGUAAGAGCAUGGCUGUUGGGACCCGAAAGAUGGUGAACUAUGCUUGAAUAGGGUGAAGCCAGAGGAAACUCUGGUGGAGGCUCGCAGCGGUUCUGACGUGCAAAUCGAUCGUCAAAUUUGGGCAUAGGGCGAAAGACGAAUCGAACAUCUGUUUCGUUU